rnacentral:rRNA from 1 species
GUAGGGAAUAUUGCGCAAUGGACGAAAGUCUGACGCAGCGACGCCGCGUGAGUGAUGAAGGCCUUAGGGUCGUAAAGCUCUGUUGAAUGGGAAGAAAAAAAUGACGGUACCAUUCGAGGAAGGACCGGCUAACUUCGUGCCAGCAGCCGCGGUAAUACGAGGGGGCCUAGCGUUGUUCGGAAUCAUUGGGCGUAAAGGGUGUGUAGGUGGCCAUGUAAGUCAGGUGUGAAAGCCCCGGGCUCAACCCGGGAAGUGCACUUGAUACUGCGUGGCUUGAGUACCGAAGAGGGUAGUGGAAUUCCAGGUGUAGUGGUGAAAUACGUAGAUAUCUGGAGGAACACCGGUGGCGAAGGCGGCUACCUGGUCGAGUACUGACACUGAGACACGAAAGCAUGGGGAUCAAACAGGAUUAGAAACCCUUGUAGUCC